rnacentral:rRNA from 1 species
GACGAACUGUCCUACCGUUGUUCGGAAUCACUGGGCUUAAAGGGCGCGUAGGCGGUCGAUCAAGUCAGGGGUGAAAUCCUGCAGCUUAACUGUAGAAGUGCCUUUGAUACUGGUCGUCUCGAGGGAGGUAGGGGUGUGUGGAACUUCCAGUGGAGCGGUGAAAUGCGUUGAUAUUGGAAGGAACGCCGGAGGCGAAAGCGACGCACUGGACCUCUUCUGACGCUGAGGCGCGAAAGCUAGGGGAGCAAACGGG